GAUCAUGGCUCAGGAUUAACGCUGGCGGCGCACAUAAGACAUGCAAGUCGAACGGAAGUCGUUGUAAUGAUGUUGACAUGAACAGAGAACUUGUUCGAAGGAAUUGAAGAUUGACUUACAACAAUGGCUUUAGUGGCGGACUGGUGAGUAACACGUAAGCAACCUGCCUAUUAGAGGGGAAUAACAACGAGAAAUCGUUGCUAAUACCGCAUAUGCCAUAAUAAUCACA
rnacentral:rRNA from 1 species